UACGUAGGGCGCGAGCGUUGUCCGGCAUUAUUGGGCGUAAAGGGCUCGUAGGCGGUCUGUCGCGUCGGGAGUGAAAACUCAGGGCUUAACCCUGAGCCUGCUUCCGAUACGGGCAGACUAGAGGUAUGCAGGGGAGAACGGAAUUCCUGGUGUAGCGGUGGAAUGCGCAGAUAUCGGGAGGAACACCGGUGGCGAAGGCGGUUCUCUGGGCAUUACCUGACGCUGAGGAGCGAAAGUGUGGGGAGCGAACAGG
rnacentral:rRNA from 1 species